ACACGGCCCAGACUCCUACGGGAGGCAGCAGUGGGGAAUAUUGGACAAUGGGGGGAACCCUGAUCCASCCAUGCCGCGUGUGUGAAGAAGGCCUUAUGGUUGUAAAGCACUUUAAGCGAGGAGGAGGCUUACCUGGUUAAUACCUAGGAUAAGUGGACGUUACUCGCAGAAUAAGCACCGGCUAACUCUGUGCCAGCAGCCGCGGUAAUACAGAGGGUGCAAGCGUUAAUCGGAAUUACUGGGCGUAAAGCGCGCGUAGGUGGCCAAUUAAGUCAAAUGUGAAAUCCCCGAGCUUAACUUGGGAAUUGCAUUCGAUACUGGUUGGCUAGAGUAUAGGAGAGGAAGGUAGAAUUCCAGGUGUAGCGGUGAAAUGCGUAGAGAUCUGGAGGAAUACCGAUGGCGAAGGCAGCCUUCUGGCCUAAUACUGACACUGAGGUGCGAAAGCAUGGGGAGCAAACAGGAUUAGAUACCCUGGUAGUCCAUGCCGUAAACGAUGUCUACUAGCCGUUGGGUCCUUUGAGGACUUAGUGGCGCAGCUAACGCGAUAAGUAGACCGCCUGGGGAGUACGGUCGCAAGACUAAAACUCAAAUGAAUUGACGGGGGCCCGCACAAGCGGUGGAGCAUGUGGUUUAAUUCGAUGCAACGCGAAGAACCUUACCUGGCCUUGACAUAGUAGAAACUUUCUAGAGAUAGAUUGGUGCCUUCGGGAAUCUACAUACAGGUGCUGCAUGGCUGUCGUCAGCUCGUGUCGUGAGAUGUUGGGUUAAGUCCCGCAACGAGCGCAACCCUUUUCCUUAUUUGCCAGCACUUCGGGUGGGAACUUUAAGGAUACUGCCAGUGACAAACUGGAGGAAGGCGGGGACGACGUCAAGUCAUCAUGGCCCUUACGGCCAGGGCUACACACGUGCUACAAUGGUCGGUACAGAGGGUUGCUACACAGCGAUGUGAUGCUAAUCUCAAAAAGCCGAUCGUAGUCCGGAUUGGAGUCUGCAACUCGACUCCAUGAAGUCGGAAUCGCUAGUAAUCGCGGAUCAGAAUGCCGCGGUGAAUACGUUCCCGGGCCUUGUACACACCGCCCGUCACACCAUGGGAGUUUGUUGCACCAGAAGUAGAUAGUCUAACCCUCGGGAGGACGUUUACCACGGUGU
rnacentral:rRNA from 2 species